CCUACGGGCGGCAGCAGUGAGGAAUAUUGGUCAAUGGACGAGAGUCUGAACCAGCCAAGUAGCGUGAAGGAUGACUGCCCUAUGGGUUGUAAACUUCUUUUAUAUGGGAAUAAAAUGUUCCACGUGUGGGAUUUUGUAUGUACCAUAUGAAUAAGGAUCGGCUAACUCCGUGCCAGCAGCCGCGGUAAUACGGAGGAUCCGAGCGUUAUCCGGAUUUAUUGGGUUUAAAGGGAGCGUAGGUGGAUUGUUAAGUCAGUUGUGAAAGUUUGUGGCUCAACCGUAAAAUUGCAGUUGAAACUGGCAGUCUUGAGUACAGUAGAGGUGGGCGGAAUUCGUAGUGUAGCGGUGAAAUGCUUAGAUAUCACGAAGAACUCCGAUUGCGAAGGCAGUUCACUGGACUGCAACUGACACUGAGGCUCGAAAGUGUGGGUAUCAAACAGGAUUAGAUACCCGAGUAGUC
rnacentral:rRNA from 1 species